GUGGGGAAUCUUCCGCAAUGGACGAAAGUCUGACGGAGCAACGCCGCGUGAGUGAAGAAGGUUUUCGGAUCGUAAAGCUCUUUCGUUAGGGACGAACGUGCUCUUUGUGAAUAAUGAGGAGUAAUGACGGUACCUAAAUAAGAAGCCACGGCUAACUACGUGCCAGCAGCCGCGGUAAUACGUAGGUGGCAAGCGUUGUCCGGAAUUAUUGGGCGUAAAGCGCGCGCAGGCGGGAUAUCAAGUCUGUCUUAAAAGUGCGAGGCUCAACCUCGUGAGGGGACAGAAACUGGGAUUCUUGAGUGUCGGAGAGGAAAGUGGAAUUCCAAGUGUAGCGGUGAAAUGCGUAGAGAUUUGGAAGAACACCAGUGGCGAAGGCGACUUUCUGGACGAUGUCUGACGCUGAGGCGCGAAAGCUAGGGGAGCGAACGGGAUUAGAAACCCGAGUAGUCC
rnacentral:rRNA from 1 species